CGCAAGUUUCAGGGAAGGUGAAAAUCCUUACUGGCGGUAACUUCCAUUCCGAUGUCUUUCGACGCAUAACGGUGAAGAAGAAGCCCGCGACCCGCGUCAAGCGGCUGAUCCGGUGGGAAUCCGGGGCCAACGGUUACAGUCCGGAUGGAAGAAACGAGGC
rnacentral:ncRNA from 1 species